rfam:Clostridium acidisoli DSM 12555 genome assembly, contig: EJ29DRAFT_scaffold00001.1
AAAGUGGAUUUUUUUAAAUCCACUUUUUUAUGUAAAAAUAGGUGU